rnacentral:lncRNA from 1 species
AGAAGGCCAAGGUUGCUGCUGCGAAGAAACCGAUUCCCCCAAGGGCUCAGGGGAGCGCAGAGGCGGCGGAGUCGGGCUCGCACGAUAGGCGAGGGGGGCGAGGUCGGGGCGAGGCAGGCCCGAGCAACGUGAUUGCAGGAAAGGCGCCUCGGGAGCCCUCGAUCCGAGACUUGUGCCGUCUUCCCGCGGGGCCGCCGAACGACUUUUACCAGGCGCGCCUGAUGGGCGAACUUUCCGAGGGCCAGCCUUC